GAGGGGAGUGUACGCGCCACGCCCCCUUUACCCUUAUUUCGUUUUGUUUUGUUGUGUUGGUUUGAUUUGAAGAAGCAGAAGCAAAGCACGUUUCACAUUUCUUGUGUUUUUAUUGUUUUUAUUCAGAGAAAGUGCAUAAUACAACCCGAAGAUUCGGAUUAUAAUAAUUGUGGGCUCUCUCCUUUUCAUCUCUCAUCAAAACCUAAAGUUUAAAGUUGCAUUACAUACAUAUUUACAAUGUCUGUGUUGAAAGAGAUUUUGUCAGGUGUGACAUCAAGUCGUUCUGUUUUAAUAAGCGAUUCUGCAAACUUCAGGGGUGACCAGAUUCUUGGAGGAUUUAUGCAGAAGUUUUCCAAAAAUGGCACGAAAGUCGUGGCUCUGAUCUUUGAUGAAACACAAAGCCCAUUUGUGCACUUUUCCAAUGUGACUUGCAGAAAAGUCUUACCAAACAAAGAAUCGUGGAUCAACUCUGGUGCUGAACAAAUUAGCCUAGCCUGCUUCUUGCCUGCAGAAGGAAAAGUGUCGGUGGUCAUUCACUCUUUGUCCUCUGCGCUUCUGAAAUUUGAUGUUGAAGAUUUGUAUAAACAACUUCACAACAUCAUCAACAAUGACGAUGUUCUCCAGCUUGUUUGUCACUUGCACCAAGACAUAUCUGAUCCAAGGGAUAUUAAAUUUUUAAGGUCUUGUUUUUCAACGUUCAUUUCUGUGGAGCCACCCAUUGGACGACAAAAGUACCCCACUUUUAGUCUCGAGCAUUACAAAACAAAUGGGAAAUUUUUCACAGAUAAAAGAAUAUUUUAUCAAGAGGCCAACGGAAAGCUGAAAAUCUUGCCAUUAGUACAAGAAAAAGAUGAAAAGCCUCAGCCAGCAGAUGCUGUUUCUCAACCAAUACAUGAUUCAUUUUCAACAUUCCGACACAGCCUUAAUUCCGAAGAGCAGAAGGCCAGGGAGAAUUUAGUCCUUCCUUACCAGAGAAUGACUCUUGAUGGUCUUCCUCCAAGAGGACAUGGGAAGAUAGAGUAUGAGCCUGAAGAUGAUGACGAGUGGGACGAAGAAGAUCCUGACGAUGAUUUGGAAAUAUAACUAAUUACCAAAUAAAGUUGCAUUACACUCAAACGCUAUUUGAGGUCACGAACCUAACCAAGAUUUAUGCUGUUCUCGAAAAGGAAUUCAUCACCAAAUUAUUAGACUCAAGUCAUUUUUUUAAGAUUAUGGCAGAUCAUCCACAAAAGAUCGGUUGCCCAGGAAAACGCAGCUUUUCACAAGACAGUUUUUAAGAAAACAAUAUUGGAGAUGGUUCAAAUUUCUUGCCUUUUUUAACGUCACAUGCAACUUCAACAUCCUGGCCAAGGUGAGAGACAAAUGUUGCAUCCACCGCAAAUUACUUGGCUUUAUUGAAACCUUUUGAUUCUUUCCUAUAAUUUAUAAGAUCUACUAAAAUUUUCUCAAUAAAAAUUAAUCUGAAUUAAUCAAAUUGAA